CGUGGCAGUGACGGGUAACGGGGAAUUAGGGUUCGAUUCCGGAGAGGGAGCCUGAGAAACGGCUACCACAUCUAAGGAAGGCAGCAGGCGCGCAAAUUACCCAAUCCUGACUCAGGGAGGUAGUGACAAGAAAUAACAACACUGGAAAUUUUAUUUCUAGUGAUUGGAAUGAUGGGAAUUUAAACUCCUUUCAGAGUAACAAUUGGAGGGCAAGUCUGGUGCCAGCAGCCGCGGUAAUUCCAGCUCCAAUAGCGUAUAUUAAAGUUGUUGCAGUUAAAAAGCUCGUAGUUGGAUAUCUGCUGGAAGCAAUCAGUCCGCCCUCUUUGUAGGGUGUGCACUUGAUGAAUUCUGGCAUCUAUUAUGUCCCGUAAUACGGAUGAAGCUAUUGAACGAAAGUUCAAUAGACUGUCCGGUUUUACUGGGAUAAUACUGUUACUUUGAGAAAAUUA
rnacentral:rRNA from 1 species